rnacentral:tRNA from 1 species
GGUGUCAGUAGUUUAAUGGCAAAACGUCCCGGCUGUGAACCGGGACAUGAGGGUUCGAAUCCCCCUGACACCC